UCUUAUUCCUCUUGGAAGAAAUGGGUUCAUUAACAGUGUUGUGUGAACUCAGUUCCUCUCUCCUCAGCCUCAUAUUCCACUGUGGUUCUUUAGCCUUCUCAUCUGAGCUUUCCUGGUCCUCUGUCUUCGUCAUGAACUGCUUUAGCCUGCAACAUUCCAAAAGAAGAAUUUCAUUCAGUUUUACAUUGGGAAUCCAACUCCAGUCUCAAUUCUCCAGGAAGCCUUCCUGUAAUCUAGGUUUCAUUUCCUUUGUCUUUAGAUCUCAAAAGAGGAGGAAACCUCUGUUACAGAGAAUGAAGAAAAAAGAGUGAGAUAAAAGUAUUGAGAAAUCAUCAAAGAAGUCACAAUUAUUUGGAUAUUAAACUACAUGUUCAAUGCUAGCUAAUUUUUGAGGAAGGAAAUGUCUACCUAACAUAGAUGUCCUAUGAAUAUACAAGAUAAUGUGUGAUGCCAGUGUAAAAAACAGAAUGAAAGAAAGAAAAGAGAACAGAGAAGAGGAAGGGAAGGAAAGAAAGAAGGGAUUAAAAAAAGUAAAGAAAUACAUUCAAAAUAAAAACGGACAUUCCAAAUGAAUAAAGGAAAGAAACAAAUUUAAAGAAUAAAACUCCUGCAUUAUACCUAGAGAACUUGAUUGGUGAGAAGAAUGGGGAAAGCCUGUUAUCCUUCAGAUCACCACUGGAAUCAGAAUGACCAAUGUGUAUGUUUUUGAAGGAAACAAAGUAAAUGUUCAAUAAGUGGUGAAUGUAAGUGUACAUAUUAUUA